CCUACGGGUGGCAGCAGUCGAGAAUCAUUCACAAUGGGGGAAACCCUGAUGGUGCGACGCCGCGUGGGGGAAUGAAGGUCUUCGGAUUGUAAACCCCUGUCAUGUGGGAGCAAAUUAAAAAGAUAGUACCACAAGAGGAAGAGACGGCUAACGCUGUGCCAGCAGCCGCGGUAAUACAGAGGUCUCAAGCGUUGUUCGGAAUCACUGGGCGUAAGGCGUGCGUAGGCUGUUUCGUAAGUCGGGUGUGAAAGGCGCGGGCUCAACCCGCGGACGGCACAUGAUACUGCGAGACUAGAGUAAUGGAGGGGGAACCGGAAUUCUCGGUGUAGCAGUGAAAUGCGUAGAUAUCGAGAGGAACACUCGUGGCGAAGGCGGGUUCCUGGACAUUAACUGACGCUGAGGCACGAAGGCCAGGGGAGCGAAAGGGAUUAGAUACCCUGGUAGUC
rnacentral:rRNA from 1 species